CACCAAUAACAUUGGGUUGAAGGUGGUGCGUUAAGUCAGUUCCAGUAGCAUUCUAAAAACCAAGGCUCUUAGGUGGGGGUGUAUGAUGUGCUUAUUGUUAUUUAUAUAGCGCCAACAAAUUCCCCAGAACUUUACAGUGGGUGGACUAACAAACAUGUAAUUGUAAUCAAAUACGUUGUAUGCACAGGGGUUGAGGGCCCUGCUCAAUGAGCUUACAUCCUAGAAGUGGGGCAUGGUGACACAAAAGGUAAGGAUAGUAUUAGGGAAGGCAGGAUUGAAAAAUUAUGAUGGUUAUUGAACCUGGUCCUAUCUGAGGGUAGGAAGGUAAGGUGCAGGUCGACUCCAGCACAAUGCUUAAUAUGAGAGUUGCAUUAGAGUAAGUUGGAAGGAGUCUCUCAAUAUAAAAUGUCUUAUGGAGCAGUCAUUGUCUUCUUCCCCUUCCUUUGUUAUAAGAGGACUCAGUGAGUAGAGAUUCCUGCUACUUGGAAAGCAAAUAGUUAGAGAGAGGGAAGAGAGAGAAGGAAAGAUGAAGAUAUACAGGGUCAAUUGGGUGAAAGCUCAGGCAUUCGCCUCCUAUGGGUAAAUGGAGGGAGGGAUAUAGUAGGAUCAAUCAAGAAGGGUCGCAGUUUGUCCAUGGAGGAAGGUUCUUCUGGGCAAAGAGAGUGGGUGGUGUGAGUGAGACUGUGUCUACCACGGUAAGGCGUUUUCCCCUCAAUCUCUGGGUCCCAGAAUAUGUGGAAGGGUUUUGGUGUAUUGUGGAUUUGUGCUGUUGGCAUAUCCAAGUCUAGGCUAGCUUAGAUUUUGUUGUAUAUUGUUUGGAUAGAAG